GUCAAAUAAGAAUCGAGAUUAUUCAUAUUCGUUGCAGGGAUAGUAGCUUCAGAAAUGAUCUGCAUUAUCUCGUCAACACUUUGCAUAGGUUGAUCGGGUUCUUCGAACUGGUCGUUCAUCGAGUUCUCAUCCAUGAGAUCUGCUGGUAAGUUCUUUAGAAACCACUCAUGAUUCUUAAUUUCAGGAAUGGAUAUCCUCUGUUGCAAUAAAAAUCGAAUCAAUAUUAUAUAUGCUUAGAAUAUAUAAAUCUAUGUUGCUCGGACUUUUCGUUUUUCUUAAGGUACCGGUUUCUAACAGAUCUGGAUUCCCAAUGAGUUCGGGUAGCAUAGUUAUGAAUUAAACUCUGACAUUUCAGGUACAAUCAUAGACUAAGCCAUGAUAGCACAAAGAGAAAACUAACCUUUGCCGGGUCAGCAACAAAAAUCCUCGAGAUCAGAUGACGGCACUCGGGGGAUAUAUGGACGUAAUCCGGGAUUGAGUACUG
rnacentral:lncRNA from 1 species